rnacentral:rRNA from 1 species
AAUAUUGGACAAUGGGGGCAACCCUGAUCCAGCCAUGCCGCGUGUGUGAAGAAGGUCUUCGGGUUGUAAAGCACUUUCAGUUGGGAGGAAGGGCUUUAGGUUAAUACCCUGAAGUUUUGACGUUACCAACAGACUAAGCACCGGCUAACUCUGUUCCGGCAGCCGCGUUAAUAGAGAGGGUGCAAGCGUUAAUCGGAAUUACUGGGCGUAAAGCGAGCGUAGGUGGUUCAGUAAGAUGGGUGUGAAAUACCCGGGCUUAACCUGGGAACUGGUUUCAUAACUGCUGAGCUAGAGUACGGUAGGAGGUAGUGGAAUUUCCUGUGUAGCGGUGAAAUGCGUAGAUAUAGGAAGGAACACCAGUGGCGAAGGGGACUACCUGGGCUGGUACUGACACUGAGGUGCGAAAGCGUGGGGAGCAAACA